GGAUGGGUGAGUAACACGUGGGGAAUCUGCCCCAUAGUCUGGGAUACCACUUGGAAACAGGUGCUAAUACCGGAUAAGAAAGCAGAUCGCAUGAUCAGCUUUUAAAAGGCGGCGUAAGCUGUCGCUAUGGGAUGGCCCCGCGGUGCAUUAUCUAGUUGGUAAGGUAAAGGCUUACCAAGGCGAUGAUGCAUAGCCGAGUUGAGAGACUGAUCGGCCACAUUGGGACUGAGACACGGCCCAAACUCCUACGGGAGGCAGCAGUAGGGAAUCUUCCACAAUGGACGCAAGUCUGAUGGAGCAACGCCGCGUGAGUGAAGAAGGUUUUCGGAUCGUAAAGCUCUGUUGUUGGUGAAGAAGGAUAGAGGUAGUAACUGGCCUUUAUUUGACGGUAAUCAACCAGGAAGUCACGGCUAACUACGUGCCAGCAGCCGCGGUAAUACGUAGGUGGCAAGCGUUGUCCGGAUUUAUUGUGCGUAAGCGAGCGCACGCGGAAGAAUAAGUCUGAUGUGAAAGCCCUCGGCUUAACCGAGGAACUGCAUCGGAAACUGUUUUUCUUGAUUGCACAAGAGGAGAGUGGAACUCCA
rnacentral:rRNA from 1 species